GGGCGUGUGGCUCAGUUGGUAGAGCGUUCGCUUAGCAUGCUUCAUUGUAUGCGAAAGGUCCUGGGUUCGAUUCCCAGCUCGUCCA